GGCAUAAAUUGUGUUAUGGCUCUUUAUUUCUCUCUCUCUUUCUCAGAACAGAGUAGGAUUUACAGUUAUACAAGUGGCGCAUCAAAGGAAAUAAAAUUCAUUUGUCAGAUUGUACCUAGCAAGAGAAAAGCAACAGGAUUCUUUCUGCGUGUGGGUGUUCUUGGCCUUUUUACAGCAAGCUGCAGUCCUUCCUUCUGCAAUACUUCAGACUUGGGGGCAGGGAAGCAGACCAGAUCCUCAGCAGCAACUAAGCUCCACUGAAGACAAUGAGACUAAGGGUUCUGUGAUUCAGAAGCAACGCGAUGAUGAUGUGGAAAUAUGUGCUCGGAACCUGAGUCAGCAGGACUCCCAGUUUGCAGCAUUUUAAAUAAGAGAGACUCCACAUGGUCAUGUGAGUGCACAAGAGACCGAGCUGUUCAAGUCAUUGCAUGUACCUCCGCAAAGAGAUGACUAAUAGUGUAACAUUUAAUAAACAGGUGGGAUGGGAUUUCCCCACGUAUCUGUACCUUUCCCUGUACUAUGGAGCCCCAACCGAUCACAAUACUUACUGAAAAGAUGAAAGCCAUGGCAGAUGCAUCCUGACAAUUCAAUCAGGGACCCCAGAGAUAGUCUUUGGUGCAUUAUUAACUCUCCACACAAUUCUACAUUUAGUUGGUGAUUCUUUACCAAAAAAAAUAUUGAAGUAAAAUGGAGAACUCCUAUAGAAAAGUUGAAUUCCUGUGCAAAUUAUAACUUUGGGUACAGGGUAUAAUAUUAGAGAUUAAGAUAAAUUACUUUUUGUAGUCCACAACAUUUUACAUUGUCUCUCAGAAGGCUACAUUAUUAUUAUUAUUGCAGUAAUACACAUGUCACCAACAGGCGCAGGGCCCCAUUGUGCUAGGCACUGUACAAAUAUAUGGAAAUAUACGAUCUUUCCCCAUGAAGAGUUUACAAUCGAACUUCUAACUUGAUUUGUACCCUGGGUCAACACCAUUCACUGGCUCAGGUUAUUUGCUAAGUGCCUCUAAGUGGACCUGUGUGGUGUCAGUUUGAUGAUCUUUAACACAUUGGAAAAAAGGGAAAUACCGUAGCAAGUGUAUUUGCAUCUCCAUGAAAUCCAGCAUCUCCAAACUCAGGCACAGGCCUCUAGCACUUGAGCUCCAGCAGUAACUCUCACUAGCUGGUAGUAGUUAUCCUCCAUGUGGACUAGCUAGCAGAGAGAGACAAGGCACACUUUGUCUGCACAGGUGUGUAAAGAAGCUGCUGUGUCGCGCCCAGACAUAUUCAAGUACUUACAAUAAAUAUAACAAAUGAAAUUCAAUUAAAGCUAUCCCUAAAACCAGUAGGUAGGCUUAUCUCAUAGGGUAUUAUCUCAGAGGUGAUUCUGCUGGGUGAUUUAUAUACCAUAAGAAUCUAAAACCAUCAAUAUUCCAUAGAAAAAUGAACACCAGAGUUUUAACAUCUCUGAUCAGCAGAAUCUAAGGGAAGCAAAUCAUCUGCAAAGACUCAGGGUUCAACUGAUAUUUUCAAUUGCAUUUAUCAUUCUCUUUAAGGUGUGAUUAUUUUUACCCUGUAUUCCUUGCAAUAUACCAUCUAUUUCUAUAGUUUCUUUUUAAUUUCAAAUAACUUCAGACCUGGUGUAAGUGGGUGCAGCUCAUUGGCCCAUUGUGUAACAAAGACUGAAGCACAGACAAGUGUAUCUUGUCUUUAUUUUGGGGAGCAGAGCCUAGCACUUUCACUGGGCAGCAAUCCCUAAUAAUCCUCCUGACACACCAGCUCUUCUUCCUGGUAGUGUUCACUUGCUUCUGAACUAACAUCCUGUUAAAGUUGCAUACCUGCAACAGCUUUACUCUCAGACUUUGAACUCUAGAUGAAAGUCAUUCCCCUGCACAUAGGAUACAGGAUUAAAUUCACCAUUAACCUUGCAAAUUCCACCCUGUUUUUUAAUUAGAUCAGUAGCAAACAAGAAACUGUCCCUUGCACAAUUCUGUGUUAAGCUCAUGUUGAGAUUUUGGGAAUAAAACUUUGCCCCGGUAUCGCUGAGAUUUUAAAUGUUAAACAACCUUAAUGUUCUUCUCUGGCAACAUUUUUCAGAGGUCAACUCAUUAUACCACAACUCAUGCAGAGAAAGAUGAUGAAAAGUUAUGGUAAAAGAAAGGACUGGAUGACAAACAGAGGUAUCCCAAUACCAUUUGGCAUCACUAAAUCAAUUUAAGUCUCUUGUGUAAUUUGAUCGGUUUUUACAAGCCUUGUCAGGUGCAAAACAGUUAAAUUGCCUUAGUAUUUGAUGGAUAUUUACUGUGUGUGGAUUUUUUUAUUUGACAGUUGCAUGUGAUUUAUGGAUUAAGGCAAGAGUAAUGCAGAGCAUCUUAAAUCACAUUGGAGUAUUGUGCUAAGUCAUGUAGUGCUGAUGUAUAUGCUAGUUGAUAGUAUUUCUUAAUUGUGCUUGUUAAAAUGU